rnacentral:rRNA from 1 species
UACGGAGGGUGCAAACGUUGCUCGGAAUCAUUGGGCGUAAAGCGCACGUAGGCGGUUCGUUAUGUCGGAUGUGAAAGCCUCGGGCUUAACCCGAGAAGUACAUCCGAAACUGGCGGGCCUGAGUACGGAAGAGGGUCUCGGAAUUCCCGGUGUAGAGGUGAAAUUCGUAGAUAUCGGGAGGAACACCAGUGGCGAAGGCGGAGACCUGGGCCGAUACUGACGAUGAGGUGCGAAAGCGUGGGGAGCAAACAGG